rnacentral:rRNA from 1 species
UCUUCAUGGGAGGGGCACACUGGGGAAUAUUUUACAAAGGGGGCAAACGUGAUCUAUACACAACGCGUGUGAGCAGAAAACCCCUUGGUUGUAAAACCCUUUAAGGCCGGAGGAGACUCAAGUUGUUUUAACCUGGAGGGUUAAGGCGUUUCCCGCAGAAUAAGCCCCGGUUAAUUUUGGUCCAGCAGCCGGGGUAAUUCGGAGGGGGCCAGGGUUUUUUGGAAUUACUGGGGUUAAAGGGGUGUUAGGGGGCUUUUUAAUUUCGGGGGGAAAACCCCGGGUUUAACUUUGGAAUUCCCUUUAAAACUGCCAAGCUUGGAUCUGGGAGGGGGUGGUGGAAUUCCCGGGGUAGGGGUGAAAUUGGUAGGAUUU